GAGUUUGAUCUUGGCUCAGGAUGAACGCUGGCGGCGUGCCUAAUACAUGCAAGUCGAGCGAACAGACGAGGAGCUUGCUCCUCUGACGUUAGCGGCGGACGGGUGAGUAACACGUGGAUAAACCUACCUAUAAGACUGGGAUAACUUCGGGAAACCGGAGCUAAUACCGGAUAAUAUAUUGAACCGCAUGGUUCAAGUAGUGAAAGACGGUUUUGCUGUCACUUAUAGAUGGAUCCGCGCCGCAUUAGCUAGUUGGUAAGGUAACGGCUUACCAAGGCAACGAUGCGUAGCCGACCUGAGAGGUGAUCGGCCACACUGGAACUGAGACACGGUCCAGACUCCUACGGGAGGCAGCAGUAGGGAAUCUUCCGCAAUGGGCGAAAGCCUGACGGAGCAACGCCGCGUGAGUGAUGAAGGUCUUCGGAUCGU
rnacentral:rRNA from 1 species